GACAGAGGGUGCGAACGUUGUUCGGAAUUACUGGGCGUAAAGCGCAUGUAGGCGGCAGCGCAAGUCGGGCGUGAAAUCCCACGGCUCAACCGUGGAAGUGCACUCGAAACUGCGCAGCUAGAGUCCUGGAGAGGAAGGUGGAAUGCUUGGUGUAGAGGUGAAAUUCGUAGAUAUCAAGCGGAACACCGGUGGCGAAGGCGGCCUUCUGGGACAGUGACUGACGCUGAGAUGCGAAAGCGUGGG
rnacentral:rRNA from 1 species